rnacentral:rRNA from 1 species
GUUGUAUAGUCAAGUAAUUAAGUGCAUGUGGUGGAUGCCUUGGCAGUCAGAGGCGAUGAAAGACGUGAUAGCCUGCGAAAAGCUCCGGGGAGGCGGCAAAUAUCCUUUGAUCCGGAGAUGUCUGAAUGGGGGAACCCACCUACUUUAAGGUAGGUAUUGCAACAUGAAUACAUAGUGUUGCAAGGCGAACGAGGGGAAGUGAAACAUCUCAGUACCCUUAGGAAAAGAAAUCAAUUGAGAUUCCCUCAGUAGCGGCGAGCGAACGGGGAUCAGCCCAUUAAGUUAUGUGUGUUUUAGUGGAACGCUCUGGGAAGUGCGAACGUAGAGGGUGAUAUUCCCGUACACGAAAGGGCACACAUAAUGAUGACGAGUAGGGCGAGGCACGUGAAACCUUGUCUGAAUAUGGGGGGACCAUCCUCCAAGGCUAAAUACUCCUGACUGACCGAUAGUGAACCAGUACCGUGAGGGAAAGGCGAAAAGAACCCCUGUGAGGGGAGUGAAAUAGAUCCUGAAACCGCAUGCAUACAAGCAGUGGGAGCACCUUCGUGGUGUGACUGCGUACCUUUUGUAUAAUGGGUCAGCGACUUAUAUUCAGUAGCGAGGUUAACCGUAUAGGGGAGCCGUAGAGAAAUCGAGUCUUAAUAGGGCGUUUAGUUGCUGGGUAUAGACCCGAAACCAGGCGAUCUAUCCAUGAGCAGGUUGAAGGUUGGGUAACACUAACUGGAGGACCGAACCCACUGUCGUUGAAAAGCCAGGGGAUGACUUGUGGAUAGGGGUGAAAGGCUAAUCAAGCCUGGUGAUAGCUGGUUCUCCCCGAAAGCUAUUUAGGUAGCGCCUCGGACGAAUACCAUAGGGGGUAGAGCACUGUUUCGGCUAGGGGGUCAUCCCGACUUACCAAACCGAUGCAAACUCCGAAUACCUAUGAGUACUAUCCGGGAGACAGACUGCGGGUGCUAACGUCCGUAGUCAAGAGGAAAACAAUCCAGACCGCCAGCUAAGGCCCCAAAAUCAUAGUUAAGUGGGAAACGAUGUGGGAAGGCAUAGACAGCUAGGAGGUUGGCUUAGAAGCAGCCACCCUUUAAAGAAAGCGUAAUAGCUCACUAGUCGAGUCGGCCUGCGCGGAAGAUGUAACGGGGCUAAAACUAUGUGCCGAAGCUGCGGAUGUAUACUUUGUAUACGUGGUAGGGGAGCGUUCUGUAAGCCGAUGAAGGUGUGUUGAGAAGCAUGCUGGAGGUAUCAGAAGUGCGAAUGCUGACGUGAGUAACGACAAAACGGGUGAAAAACCCGUUCGCCGAAAGACCAAGGGUUCCAGUCCAACGUUAAUCGGGGCUGGGUGAGUCGACCCCUAAGGCGAGGCCGAAAGGCGUAGUCGAUGGGAAAAUGGUUAAUAUUCCAUUACUUCUGUGUAAUGCGAUGAGAGGACGGAGAAGGCUAAAUCAGCCUGGCGUUGGUUGUCCAGGUGAAAGGAUGUAGGCAUGUAUCUUAG